AAUCCUAAAGGGAAAGGUUUUUACCUAUCCUACUACUAUAAAUAAAGGCACAAUGAGAGUGGAAAAACACACAUCCACAAUUAUACAUCUCUCUCUUCUUUUCUCUAUGCCGCACCCUCUCUCUCUAUAUGGCCUCGAUAAUUAUUUAGUAAAUUAUGCCAACAACACUAUCAACUUUAUUUAAUGAUAGAAACAAAAGAAUAAUUUUUUUUUUAAAAAAUACAAAAAACCAAACUCGCACUGGGCGCGUCCCCCCACCCCCCAUUGCCCAUUUCCACACUCACCUCUUUUCUCUCAUUGUUAGCUGCAUUAAUGGAUUUUUUUUUUUGGCUUAGAGUAUGAAAAAAACUUCAAAUUAAAUUACAUUCCUCAGUUUUAUUUUUGUGGUGUUGUUUCCCAAUAGUAGUCAAGGUGACAAGAUAUUUUUUAAUGUGUCUGGAACACGGGAUUGUACACCACGUGUCUCUACAAGUUAUGAGAUUUCGUGUUAAAAAAUUAAUAACAUAAAAAAUAAAAUUUCUCACCACAUACAUAAUAACACCUAGUGUACCAUUUGUGUUCCGGGUGCAAGGAAAAAUUUCUCAAGAUGACACCCAAACUCAAGAAAUUGGAUAAAGAGCUACAUUUGUAGAUAUGUAAAAAAUGUGAGAGAAUUUUAAUUUGGUAAUUGAAAACAACUUUUUAAAUAUAAUUAUUAAGAACAUAAUCUUAUUAAGAUCUUGAUCUAAAGGAUCACUUUUGGGUUCAUCUUUUCGAUCCAAUGGAUGCUUUUUCAUGACCAAAAAGGAUUUAAGCUUCAAAACUUAUGAAACUGAACCACGAAUUAGACACUAUUUAUAAAACUUGACCAAUAAGUAGGCAUUAUUUAUGAAACUAGACCAAUAACUAAACUUUAUUUAUAAAACUGGACCAAUAAAUAGAUAAUAUUUAUGAAACGAAACCAAGAAUUAGACAUUAUUUCUAAAACUAAACCGAUAGGUUGAAACUAUUUAUAAAACUGGACUAUACACUAUUUGUGAAACUGGACCAAGAACUAGACAUUAUUUAUGAAAUAUGACAAAGAACUAGAUUCUAUUUAUGAAAAUGAACAAAUAACUAGACACUAUUUAUGAAACCGGACCAAGAAGAGACAUUAUUUAUGAAACUGUACCAAUUACUAUACACUAUUUAUGAAAUCGGACCUAAUAAAUCAAAUAGGCACUGUUUAUGAAGCACGACCAAGAAUUAGGCACUAUUUAUGAAAGUGAACGAAGAACUAUGCACUAUUUAUGAAAAUGGACCAAUAAAUAGUGUAGUACCAUUCAGUUUCAUAAACAGUGUCUAUGAUUGAUGCACGAGUCUCGUGCAUCAGUUUUUAUUUUAUUUUUUUUUUACAUUAAAAUUGUGUCAUUUUCAUUAAAAUUUAAGUUUUUUUUUGUCUUUUUAUUAAAAUUUAAGGAUUUUUCAUUACUAUUUAAUUCUUUUUCAUUAAAUAAAGUUAUAGCUUGGUUUUUUGUUACAAUAAACUUAGCCCAAGUCUUUUUCAUAAAAGUUCCCUAAGAUGUAUCAUUCUCUAUACUUAUCUAAAUAAACAAAAUUUUGUUCAUAUUCCAAACACUUCCUAACACAAUAAAUAUUCAAUCAAAUUCAUCUUGUAACAAUUUGACUUCUUUAUUAUAAAUUAGUUUUACUGUGUUAUGUAAUCAUCUAAAGUUUGUAAUUUUUUUUUCUAAAAAAAGAAAGGAAAAAAAUUGAAUGCGUUUGGCUCUUACCGUGUUACUCUUCAGUACAAAAUAGACAUCCUCGUUAGUAAACAACCUAUUCCGUUCACCAGGAUCUUAAAUACAUUGUUCCUGAACAAUUGUCCUUCCCAUUUCUUGUAGCAAAUCAUGCAUCUUUAUGGUUUUCCAUCUCGGCUGUGAAUCAAUUGAUAUGAGAGACAUAUCAAUAAGAAUUCUAAUUCCGGUUGUCGCAAAGAAUCCACGAACAUCUAAAAUUCCUUUUACAUACUCCACAUCCCGCCCUUUAUGAAAACAUGCUAUAUCCAGAAAUAUCUCCUUCUCAUUCUUUUCCAAUCUAUCAUAACUUAUUCUCAACACUUUCUGGAUACUUUCGCUGGGAAAUCGUUUUAGUUUGUUGAAUUCAUCUUCCCAAUCUUCUUUGCUCUUGCAAUUGAAGAACAAGGACCCCAGAACUGUAAGAGCCAAAGGUACGCCUCUAGCAUAAUGCGCGGCCAUAACAAAAAUUACAGCACAAAGGGACAUCGGUGACAAGUCACCAGCGAAGAAAUUAACAGCAGACAUAACAAAAAUUAAUUAGCAAUUUUAAUUCCAGCACAACAUAACACCAAAACUUAUUAAUUAAAAAGAAAGUAAUAAUAAGAGAUUGAAUUUGUAGACAAAAUUUAUAAAUUAAAUAAUGUGUCACAAAUAAACAUGAAUACAUUUAUUAACAUUUCAAUGAUAAUUCAAUUAUCAACUUAUAUGUUAUUUAGUUUAGCAAAUUCAGUUUACAAAUUUAAUCUCUCUAGCAUUUCACUAAAAAGAAAUAACAAACUAUACAGAAAUUAAACAGUAUCAAUCAAUAAACACUGACUAACCUCUGACAAGUUACCAAUUUGACAAGGGCUUGUUUGUUUUCUCCACCCUCAGAGCAGCAGCUGAUGAAAAACAAGAAGAAGAAGAAGAAGAAGCCAUAUCCACAACCUCUAGUCUUCAGAUCCAGGAAGUAGUAGUUGCAGAUAGAUUAAUUGUGAAUAGAGAGAGAGGUUCAGAAUUAAGGAGGAUCCGGUAAAGCAAGCGAGAGAGAGAGAGAGUGGUUCAGAACUAAGGAGGAUCCAAUAAAGCUAAACAGAGAGAGAGAGAGUAGAGAACAUAAUUAAGGCGGAUUUAAUGAAACGAGAGAGAGAGAGAGAGAGAGAGAGAGACUAUUUCAGAAUUUCCUCGAAUUGGCUUUUGACUACAUGCACAAAGUUCCAAACGCACUUAUGAGUAAGAGAUGAACAAUUACAAAAGUAUAAAAAGGGGGACAUGGAUCCUCUUCGGAUCUAGUGGUCUUAAUUCACCAAGUCCAAUCAUCCGGGCCAUUGAAAUUUAAUCCAACGACUAAAGUUAUUAUAAUUUUUAAUAACGGCUAAAAUUAUAAUAACUUUAACCGUUGGUUAAAAUUUCAACGGUCCCGAUGAUUGGACUUGGUGGAUUAGGACCACUAGAUCCGGAGAGGAUCCAUGUCCUAAAAAGGGAGCAUGGGCUAGGGCCCUCCCUUGCGAGAAAUUUUUAGUUGUGACUGGAACACGGGUGGUACACCACGUGUUUUUAUGUAAGUGGUGGUAAAUUUUAUUUUUUAAGUUAUUAACUUUUUAACACAUAUAUCUCAUAAUUUAUAUAGUGACACGUGGUGUACCACCUCGUGUGACGAUCACACUGAAAAAUAUGUCCUCCUUUGUGUACUUUGCGUACUCGGUUUUGAAUUUUCCAAUUAGUCACUGAUUUCUUUUAAGAAAUUUCCAAGCAGUUCUGAUUGAGGACAUUUUAUAAUUUUUCAGAAGUAAAAAAAGAAGUGAAUUUUACACUAUAAAAUCAUGGCGGGUAGGGUGAAAUUUUCAUACCCUCUUUGGAUCCGAAAGAGUAAUCGUGGUUUGCCACUAGUUAUCCUCCUUAAAUAUAUAUAUAUAUAUAUAUAUAUAUAUAUAUAUAUAUAUAUAUGUGUGUGUGUGUGUGUGUGUGUGUGUGUAUUUAUAUAGUUGUUCGUCAAUGGAGAUUGAAGAUUUGGUAUCUGUCUUUCCAAGCAUAGGUGACAAAUCAAGUCGUUGGACUAUUAAUGAAAAAUCACCACAAGCCCGUUCCAAAACUUUUGUCGGGAAAGUCAAAAUGACGGAUUUACCCUCAACAGGCAUUAAGGGAUUUAGAAAAAUGGAUGGUGUGGAUUGAAUGUGGACAUCAAAACCCUCACACUCUCCCUCUCUCUAUCCCGUAGCCCUCUCUCUCUCCUCCAUCUCGACUCACUCUCUCUCUCACACCCAUUUGGUACGGCCUCACCCAAAAAUCCCCAAAACUCAGUGGAUCGAAGCAACCAAGGGAAUUCUAAGCUUAUAGUGAGCUUAGUGAGGUCCUAAGGAAGCUCGGAGUGCUUCG